AUUGAACGCUAGCGGGAUGCCUUACACAUGCAAGUCGAACGGAGUGGCGAACGGGUGAGUAAUGUAUCGGAACGUGCCCAGUAGCGGGGGAUAACUACGCGAAAGCGUAGCUAAUACCGCAUACUAUUGGAGCGGCCGAUAUCGGAUUAGCUAGUUGGUGGGGUAACGGCUCAACAAGGCGACGAUCCGUAGCCGGUUUGAGAGGACGACCAGCCACACGGGGACAGGGACACGGCCCAGAUUCCUACGGAAGGCAGCAGUGGGGAAUUUUGGAAAAUGGGGGAAAACCUGAUCCAGCCAUACCGAGUGUGCGAUGAAGGCCUUCGGGUUGUAAAGCACUUUUGGCAGGAAAGCGGUACCUGCCGAAUAGGCACCGGAUAACUACGUGCCAGCAGCCGCGGUAAUUC
rnacentral:rRNA from 1 species